rnacentral:rRNA from 1 species
UACGUAGGGCGCAAGCGUUGUCCGGAAUUAUUGGGCGUAAAGAGCUCGUAGGCGGUCUGUCGCGUCUGCUGUGAAAACCUGGGGCUUAACCCCGGGCCUGCAGUGGGUACGGGCAGACUAGAGUGUGGUAGGGGAGACUGGAAUUCCUGGUGUAGCGGUGAAAUGCGCAGAUAUCAGGAGGAACACCGGUGGCGAAGGCGGGUCUCUGGGCCAUAACUGACGCUGAGGAGCGAAAGCGUGGGGGAGCGAACAGG